rnacentral:rRNA from 1 species
ACCGGCGCACGGGUGCGUAACACGUAUGCAACCUACCCAUAAGCGGGGAAUAACCCGGAGAAAUCCGGACUAAUACCGCAUAGUACGUUUGAGUGGCAUCACUUAAACUUUAAAGAUUUAUCACUUAUGGAUGGGCAUGCGCAUGAUUAGAUAGUAGGCGGGGUAACGGCCCACCUAGUCAACGAUCAUUAGGGGUUCUGAGAGGAAGGUCCCCCACAUUGGUACUGAGACACGGACCAAACUCCUACGGGAGGCAGCAGUGAGGAAUAUUGGUCAAUGGGCGAGAGCCUGAACCAGCCAAGUCGCGUGAAGGAAGAAGGAUCUAUGGUUCGUAAACUUCUUUUUUAGGGGAAUAAAGUGCGGUACGUGUACCGUUUUGUAUGUACCCUACGAAUAAGGAUCGGCUAACUCCGUGCCAGCAGCCGCGGUAAUACGGAGGAUCCGAGCGUUAUCCGGAUUUAUUGGGUUUAAAGGGUGCGUAGGCGGAAGAAUAAGUCAGUGGUGAAAGUUUGCAGCUCAACUGUAAAAUUGCCGUUGAAACUGUUUUUCUUGAGUGUAAAUGAGGUAGGCGGAAUGUGUUGUGUAGCGGUGAAAUGCUUAGAUAUGACACAGAACACCGAUUGCGAAGGCAGCUUACUAAGAUACAACUGACGCUGAGGCACGAAAGCGUGGGGAUCGAACAGGAUUAGAUACCCUGGUAGUCCACGCA